CAGGACGACGCUGGCGGCGUGCCUAACACAUGCAAGUCGAGCGAUGAAGCCCUUCGGGGUGGAUUAGCGGCGGACGGGUGAGUAACACGUGGGUAACCUGCCUUAUAGAGGGGGAUAGCCUUCCGAAAGGAAGAUUAAUACCGCAUAAUAUGUUUUUAUCGCAUGGUAGAAACAUCAAAGGAGCAAUCCGCUAUAAGAUGGACCCGCGGCGCAUUAGCUAGUUGGUGAGGUAACGGCCCACCAAGGCGACGAUGCGUAGCCGACCUGAGAGGGUGAUCGGCCACAUUGGAACUGAGACACGGUCCAGACUCCUACGGGAGGCAGCAGUGGGGAAUAUUGCGCAAUGGGGGAAACCCUGACGCCAGCAACGCCGCGUGAAUGAAGAAGGCCUUAGGGUUGUAAAGUUCUGUUUUCUGGGACGAUAAUGACGGUACCAGAGGAGGAAGCCACGGCUAACUACGUGCCAGCAGCAGC
rnacentral:rRNA from 1 species